rnacentral:misc_RNA from 1 species
AGCCCAUCCACGCUCGUCUGCCUCGCGGCAGAGAUGCGGACACUGGCCCUCCGAACCGCGAGGUGCGGUGGGCCUAAGUGUGCGGUCGUCGUGU